rnacentral:lncRNA from 1 species
AGUGAACUGAAGAGUAAAUGGAGCAAGAUGUCAGCAUUCCAGUGCUUCUCCCAUGGAACAUCAACUUGAACAGCUAUCCACGCAUGAAAAUACCUUCCCAGGAGCUUAGAAUGCCAGAGAGGCUGCUGCCAGUGGAUUUCUGAAGACGCACUGGCAUACCUGGCUGUAGGAGGAGGAAGGCACACGUGGACACGAUGCUUAGAGUUGACAGGUGUCCCGGGAGGCCUGCCCGGUGUCCCCCAUGACCAACUGGGGAGGUGACAAGCUCUGGUACCACAGCGGCUUCGAGGAGCACCUCUGACCUGGGGCUCUGUGGCGGGUUCAAUACUGAAACAUGUCCAGGACAGAUUCACUUUCAGAAAGAUAACUUUUUCAAAAUGUACCAUCAUGAGCCUGGG